GUCUUUUUGAGGAUAAUUUAAAGUCUGACCUGCCCAAUGAUAAAUAAAUAUUAAAUGGCCGCGGUAUUUUGACCGUGCAAAGGUAGCAUAAUCAUUAGUUUUUUAAUUGAAAGCUUGAAUGAAAGGUUUGAUGAAAAAAAAGCUGUCUUUAUUUUAAUUUUUUAGAAAUUUAUUUUUAAGUUAAAAGGCUUAAAUAAGUAUUAAAGACGAGAAGACCCUAUAGAGUUUUAUAUUUCUAUAAAAUUAUUAUAUUUUAGGAUUUUUUAAUAAUUUUUUAGAAUUAUUUGAUUGGGGUGAUUGAAAAAUUAGUUAAACUUUUUUAUGUUUGAUUACAUUAAUUUAUGAAUUUUUGAUCCUUAUUAAAGAUUAGUAGAUAAAAUUACCUUAGGGAUAACAGCGUAAUUUUUUUUAGAGUUCUUAUCAAAAAAAAAGAUUGCGACCUCGAUGUUGGAUUAAAAUUUAUUAUUGGUGUAGAAGCUAAUAAGUUAGGUCUGUUCGACCUUUAAAUUUUUACAUGAUCUGAGUUUAAACCGGUGUGAG
rnacentral:rRNA from 1 species